rnacentral:rRNA from 1 species
GAUGAACGCUGGCGGCGUGCCUAAUACAUGCAAGUCGAGCGAACGGACGAGAAGCUUGCUUCUCUGAUGUUAGCGGCGGACGGGUGAGUAACACGUGGAUAACCUACCUAUAAGACUGGGAUAACUUCGGGAAACCGGAGCUAAUACCGGAUAAUAUUUUGAAGCGCAUGGUUCAAAAGUGAAAGACGGUCUUGCUGUCACUUAUAGCUGGGUCCGCGCUGCAUUAGCUAGUUGGUAAGGUAACGGCUUACCAAGGCAACGAUGCAUAGCCGACCUGAGAGGGUGAUCGGCCACACUGGAACUGAGCCACGGUCCAGACUCCUACGGGAGGCAGCAGUAGGGAAUCUUCCGCAAUGGGCGAAAGCCUGACGGAGCAACGCCGCGUGAGUGAUGAAGGUCUUCGGAUCGUAAAACUCUGUUAUUAGGGAAGAACAUAUGUGUAAGUAACUGUGCACAUCUUGACGGUACCUAAUCAGAAAGCCACGGCUAACUACGUG